rnacentral:rRNA from 1 species
UACGUAGGGGGCAAGCGUUGUCCGGAAUCAUUGGGCGUAAAGAGCGCGUAGGCGGUCCGGUAAGUCCGCUCUGAAAGUCCGGGGCUCAACCCCGGGAGGCGGGCGGAUACUGUCGGGCUAGAGUCCGGAAGAGGCGAGUGGAAUUCCUGGUGUAGCGGUGAAAUGCGCAGACAUCAGGAGGGACACCGGUGGCGAAGGCGCCACUCUGGGCCGGUACUGACGCUGAGGAGCGAAAGCGUGGGUAGCAAACAGG